GUUAUUACAGUCUCACGAGCCCACGACCAGAUGGCGCUUUGAUUUGAUUGAGCCGUUGCUCGUUGGUUCCAGUUCCAGGCACAGGCAGUCAGGCCCUUCUUCGGCGGCGGGCGGCGAGGGUUUGGAGGAGGGCGGUGCGCAACGCAACACCCUAGCUCUGCGGCGGCGUAUUCUCUUCAAGUGGCUCGCUGCCUUGCCGACCCCGCGAGCGCAAUGAGGGUGAAAGUGAUUUCGCGCCCCACCGACGAGUUCACGCGCUAGCGCAGUCAGGACCUGCAGAAAGUAUUCCGCAAUUAUGAUCCAGCGCUUCGUAGUCAAGAGAAAGCUGUUGAAUACACUCGGGCACUUAUUGCUGCAAAGUUAGAGAAGGCAUGCUACUUCUUCUUUACCUGCAUUCAUGUUUUGUUUAUAUUGGGACAAUAAUUCUUCUGCUCUCCUUGUGCAGAUAUUUGCUAAGCCAUUUGUCAGGGCUAUGAAUGGCCAUAUUGAUGACAUAUCAUGCAUGGCGAAAAACUCCAAUCAUUUGUUAGCAAUAUUUUCUGGUUCCACGGUGUUUGACACCAAAAUGAGCCGGCGGACUGUCCGGCCCUGAGGCCGGACGGUCCGCGGUCCGGACGGUCCGCGCAUGCGCAGAACAGAUUAGGGUUCCGAGUUUUGUGCUAUGGUUGUUAGCUAAAAUCAUGGGAUAAGCUCGGAAAUUAGUUUGUAAAGGGUCCAGCCCCCCUCCUCUAUAAAUAGAGAGGUAUACGGCCGAUUUAUGAUCAUCAAUCGAAUCAAUACAACUUCUAUUUCGCAUUUUAUCUUAGGAGUAGUUCUAGUCUAGUUUAGGUUUAGCUAUCCAAUCCCCAAAUUCUCCGCCUCUCCUCGACUCUACGUCGAUUAGAGGAGUCUAGGUCGGCCGGCCCGAGCCUAGACACCACCUAGGAUCUCUCCUCCCCGACGGGGUCCCUCCCGGGAGCGAGAUCCAGGCGCCGCCGGCGAUCUUCCGCCGCCCCUGCGCACGCGCGGACCGUCCGGCACCAGGGCGCGGACCGUCCGGACGUCAGGCAGGAAAACCUAGCCUCUGCGCCAGGUCGCGGACCGUCCGGCCCCAGGCCGCGGACCGUCCGCGCCUGACCAGAGAGCACCGCCGCUGGUUCUCUUGAGUAAUUGGCGCCUCCAAAAAGGUGUCAACAUACUUUUUGGCGACUCCGCUGGGGACAACACAUAUAGACCUAUCAAAUCGGCCCUCAAUGGCCGGUUCAAAAGAUAGCUCUGAGGUUUCCACCAGCAAUAUCUUCACACCGACUUGGGAAGCCUUGCCGGCUGAAGAACAGCUCCUGUUCGAGGAGCGCCAGGAGCAGCUGAUCCAAGAAGCAAAGGCGAAGUUCCUGGCUGACUUCAAAGUGGACAGGAACAACAAAGUCGUUCGGCAACGGGCGACAGAUCUGGCUUCGCUCCGACCUACUACGAUUACCCCAAAUGUAAGUAGCACCAACGAACUCCAAUCUCUUAAAGCUUACAUAGACGAACAGCGAGAACAGAUGCAAAAUAUCAUAGGGGUUAUGCAAAACGAUUGUAGGAGACUAGUACGUGCAUUUGAUAAAUCUAGUAUAGCAAAUUUUCCUUCACACGAGGUUGAAUUAGGAGAUAAUACAUGUAAUACAUCGGUUAAAGGUUGUCACGACCAGUCACAACCCCCUUAUGGGAUGCCGAUGGACACGUACCCUGAGCAAACGCAAAUCGGCAGUAAACCAGCCGAUCUACACAUGUCUGGACCGUCCGCUCGCGAGCGCGGACCGUCCGGGUCAGCCACAGUCGGGCCCAUUUUUAAUGAGUUACCUAGACACGCACCCGAGCCACCACAUAGGGCACCGAAUUUAAACUAUCCAGUCGGACGGUCCGCAUACAACGACGGACGGUCCGCAUAUAAUCACGGACGGUCCGGGUACGUAUCCGGACAGUCCGCGCAUGAGUCUUUUGAGGGGGAUUAUUACCUGAAUCCUCGCCUGUCCCAGCAACACUUCCCAUCACAUUAUGCAAUGCACCAGCCCAUUAAUUCAGGAUCCAGAGCCCAGGAAAGCUUUCCGGUCCCACCUAGAAGGCCGGAAAGAAACGAUCAAACAUAUGAGCCAUAUAGGGCAAAUAGAAAUGCACCACGUAGCUCAAACCAAUGGGGGGAACGACAACAUACUAACAUGCAACCAACCCCACCUAUGUUUGACCAGAGAGCCGGUGGUCUUGCACCGGCUGCCAUUGGUAUAGUGAGGGAAGAAAUAGCCGGGGCGUUCCGAGAUAAGCUCAGAGUAAGCAUGAUCCCUGGGGGGCAAUCAUAUCGGAAGCCUUAUGACAGCCGAUUUGAUCACCACCCAUACCCACAGGGAACCAGGAUACCCGAGUUUGCAAAGUUUUCGGGUGACCAAGGAAAGAGCACGCGUGAGCACAUAGGCCAGUUCCUAGCACAAUUAGGAGAAUUGGCCGACACCGAAGCAUUCCGUGUGCGUUUAUUUUCAUUAUCCUUAACAGGGACUGCAUUCACAUGGUAUGCCACGCUCCCUCCUAAUUCCAUUUUGUCAUGGGGAGACUUAGAGCAAAAAUUUCAUGAACAUUUCUUCUCUGGUGAUUAUGAGCUAGAUUUAGUAGACUUAGUGACCCUACGACAAGAAAAGGAUGAAUCGGUUAGUGAUUAUAUCCGGAGAUUCCAGGAUACGAGAAACCGAUGCUUUCAAAUUCAUUUAACAGAUAAACAACUGGCGGGAAUAGCCUUUGAUGGAUUGCGUUAUUAUUUAAAAGAGAGAUUAGAAGGCAUCCAGUUCUUUACUCUAGCACAAUUACAUCAGAGAGCUUCGGCUUGUGAAAGCCGAAGCAAAGAACUAGUCAGAACGGUUCAUCAUAAUGUCCCUAUAGUAGAACACAAUCAAAGUAGUUCAGACGAUGAACCAAAGAAAGUUUACACUGCCGAAAUAGUUUGGCCCGAGCAGGCCAAAUCUUCGGCUUGCUACUCCUUGCAGUCAGUUCAGAAGGAACGACAGGAGGAGGUUAAGUUUACAUUUAAUGUCGGCAAAUGUGAUAAGAUAUUCGAUGAAUUACUAAAAAAUGGUAACAUUAAAAUUGAUUAUAUCGUUCCACCUGCCGACGAACUAAAGCGUCGCGCAUACUGCAAGUGGCACAACUCAUUUUCCCAUGCCACUAAUGAUUGUAAUGUGUUCCGACGACAAAUUCAAUCGGCCAUUAAUGAGGGACGAUUGAAAUUUCAGGAGGACACGGAGCCCUUCCCAAUGAAUGUGAUCGACUUUAAUGGCAAAAAGGUCCUAAUUCGGCCCAACACAGCCGAUAAGGGCAAAGACAAAGAAGUCAUCAUCGGCAACGCACGGGAGGCCGAUGGAAACAACAAAAUUUCUUGCAGGAAAGUGAUGGCCGAGAAGACUCCUGAUGGAGGGGAGACACUGAAGGUAACUGUUUGACACCAAAAUGAGCCGGCGGACUGUCCGGCCCUGAGGCCGGACGGUCCGCGGUCAUCACAAACUCCAGCGCUGGGGGCAAGCACAGACAAGGAGAUAUGCGCGAGAACCCAUACUACGCAUCGCGGACGGUCCGGUGUCCAGGCGCGGACGGUCCGUAACAUCACCGGACGGUCCGGAGCGUUCCAGCGGACGGUCCGGCAACGCCGAAGAGCCGCGGCGACCACGUACCUUCAAACCACGACGACCAAAAAUAGGUACGUGAAAAACUAACACGUUCAAGGCAACUGGUCGGUUGGUAAAAUCUAGCCCGACCUUUGAUCAAUUAUUGUCUAAAUAUGUGAAAAAGAAGGCUGGCCCCAGCGACCGGCCACCAAAGGGACCUCGCUUACCCACCCAGGUGCGACGGCAGGUUAGGCCGAUUGGACCACCACACCAAUCGGAAAGGACGAGAGGUCAUAAUGUUCAAUUAAGACCUAACAUACCUGCAUGGACACCUCCACCACCAUAUCCAUCUAUGCCAUAUUCAUACACAUACAUACCUCCACCAUACGUCCCAAAUCAAAUGUGGGGCAUGCCACCAUACCUAUUUGGGAUGCCACAGUACCCCGCUUGGGGGGCACCCCAAACAUCUGUAUUCAAUAGGUUGACACCUCCAGUACAAGACCGAUUGAGAGCCCCUCAAUCUGGUCCACGAGCACAGGCCCAGCAAGAUUGCCGAACAAUUCGGCCCCAAAGGCUGACUAAUCCGGCAGGGGGCAUACAACUACAACCUCCAACAGUACGAAAAGGGAGACGUCAUUAAAAUAGGAACGACAGAUGUCGUCGUACAACAAAAUAACGAAGGGCCGAUGAUUUUUGGUGAAUCGGCCAACACAAACAAAAAAGAAAGUACGACUGUCAAUAAAAUAGCCGAUCCAAAAUACUCCAUGCCCCGAUGGUGCCCAUCGGGAUUGACACGAUCGCAAAAGCGAAAAUUACAACGCCUUAGAGCAAAGGAGAAUCAGGAGAAGGAGGCGGAAAAAAUAUUCAAUGACACACAUCCGCAGUAUCCGCCACCACAAAAGAGAUGGAGACCAAAGGUCGUUGAGGAAAAUCAAACGGCCAUAAAGACAGAAAAUAAAACAGCAACUGUGCAGCUCUUUGCAGGUAUAGCAGACAGUCCGGCUAUAAAGACCAGACCAAUCAUACAGGACGCGGACCAUCCGACCCCUGAGGCCGAACCAUCCGCACUACACCAAGACACCACCAACGAUGUACCGACACCCAUGGAGGAAGAUGACCUACAAGGGGAAGACCUGGUCGACUACGAAGCUACGCCAGAACACUUGGAAAAUUAGAAAAAGUAAGGUGACGGAUUGGUCAGGAUCGCUAUGAUGCUCGACGGUGUUGGGACUGACAGUUCGAUCAAAGCUAAAAGAGUCACGUCCAUUGAGUCAACCAUCGGGACUAAGGCCACUACGUAUCAUCCUAGCAAGUGUCAAGAUGCCUAAGAAAACUGAUGUGAUCACAUCGAGUUAGUUGCUUUUGGUUCGCUCAGCUCCACCAAAAGGCAGGGGGGCAUAUGUUUGACACCAAAAUGAGCCGGCGGACUGUCCGGCCCUGAGGCCGGACGGUCCGCGGUCCGGACGGUCCGCGCCUGUGGGCCGGACGGUCCGCGCAUGCGCAGAACAGAUUAGGGUUCCGAGUUUUGUGCUAUGGUUGUUAGCUAAAAUCAUGGGAUAAGCUCGGAAAUUAGUUUGUAAAGGGUCCAGCCCCCCUCCUCUAUAAAUAGAGAGGUAUACGGCCGAUUUAUGAUCAUCAAUCGAAUCAAUACAACUUCUAUUUCGCAUUUUAUCUUAGGAGUAGUUCUAGUCUAGUUUAGGUUUAGCUAUCCAAUCCCCAAAUUCUCCGCCUCUCCUCGACUCUACGUCGAUUAGAGGAGUCUAGGUCGGCCGGCCCGAGCCUAGACACCACCUAGGAUCUCUCCUCCCCGACGGGGUCCCUCCCGGGAGCGAGAUCCAGGCGCCGCCGGCGAUCUUCCGCCGCCCCUGCACACGCGCGGACCGUCCGGCACCAGGGCGCGGACCGUCCGGACGUCAGGCAGGAAAACCUAGCCCCUGCGCCAGGUCGCGGACCGUCCGGCCCCAGGCCGCGGACCGUCCGCGCCUGACCAGAGAGCACCGCCGCUGGUUCUCUUGAGUAAUUGGCGCCUCCAAAAAGGUGUCAACACACGGAUGGAGGUACUUACCUACUUCUCGAAAAUCUUUUAUCUUGCUGAUUGUGUUUCCACAAUACUACUCGCUUCUCGAGUGGAUUGAAUCAAUCAAUUACUUUUAUCGUACAAGUACACACUAGAGACUAUGGUGUUGUCACUUUUAGUAGCAGGGUGCUAAAGAGAGAUUGUAUUCCUGAGUUCAUUCAUUUCCGUCUCUGUAACUGGCUAUCUGCUUCAAGUGAACUCUUGACAUUCUUUUCCUGCAUAGACAGCCUUCCAGUCUUCAUCUUUCUAAUUAUGCAUUAGUUCAAUGACAUGUUUAGCAUGAACGAAACACUAUUUGGAUGUGCUUGGAAAAUAAAUUUUACUUUAUUAUUACGAGUCUGCACAAUGGGGUCUAGGAUGCAGUCUAUGGUAAUUGGCUAAUUGCCUUCUGCACCUAACUGCUAGUUAGUGGUCUGGAACUUGUUUAGCAUACAGUAGGUAACUUUUCAGUUCAAUUCCACACACACAAACAAAUAUAUUAUGUUGGUCCGAGUGACCAACAGAGUUACAGAAAAGCAAUUCCAUAUUGGUGGGUUAUGUCUCAUUAUUAUAUCUAGUUAACAGGUAACCCACCGCUUUUCCUAAAUUAUAGUUUGGUUGUGAAGGCUGUUGAAUACCUCAGGAGUCUUCUGUCAUAUACUUACAAAUAGGACUCCAUGUAGUUUCAGUAGUGCUUCUUGUAGCCAUUAUAUGUAAAUUUGCAACCUGGUUUUUAUUAAACCACUCCUUAAGUUUUAGGGGUGCUGAUCACCAGUGGGAUGGUAAUCUUUUUGCAACUGUUGGUGCUCAAGUUGAUAUAUGGGAUCCUGACAGGUCGGAGCCAGUAAAUAGCUUCGAGUGGGGUAAACAUACGGUUCUCUCUGUUCUAUUUGAUCCUGGGGAUUGUAAUAUUUUGAUUAAAUCAGUGAUCGGAGUCUAACACUCUAUGACGACCUGCCCAUGUCAUCACCAGCUAGAAAGCUAAUAAUGAAGACAAGCUAAGGUGCAAUUCAGUAUGCUGGAACCCCAGAGAGCCCAUGAACUUCACUGCUGUAAGAUUCAUAUAUGGGAUCCUGACAGGAAAGGAAUGCGCAACAUGCAUGUAGCUAGCUAGCAGCUCACAUACUAGGCAGGCAUGCAUGUGCCUAUUAUUAUUGUUGUUGUUCAUAUAACUAGUAAUACAAUACAAUCCGAUGUGUCGUUUGCACAGGCGUACGUACAUUACUUGUCUCAGCAGCAAGCAGCAGCAAUAGGUAGCAUACAAGAGAAACCCUCAAAUAGCUAGCUAGCAGAUCUGUGUCAAGCUCCAUCUCAAUCGCUAUUAGCCAGCUUAAUAAUAAGGGCAAAAAAAGAAGAAGAAA